rfam:Triticum urartu cultivar G1812 contig9778, whole genome shotgun sequence.
AAUUUUCUCCUUCCGUCCGAAAAAACUUGUCCCAAACUUGUCUCUCAAAUGAAUGUAUCUAGCAUUAACUUUGUGCUAGAUACAUCCAUUUGAGGAACAAAUUUUUUCGGAUGGAGAAAGUACUAA